rnacentral:lncRNA from 1 species
UCUACACAUUCACCGAACGUCUAGCGAUUUGACAGCGCGGAACGAGUUUAGGUACAAUUAUUAAACUAAUAGUUUUAAAAGUAAUAAUUGUAGUCCAUAUAAAAACUUGCGGAUCAUGUAAUCUAUAUCCUGAUAUAUGUAGAUUGCACAUCAUGUACUAAUGUACUAUGAACAAGCUUUACAUAUUUUCAAAAAAGUAUGAUGAGAUAAAUAAAAAUGAUUAUGAUAUUGUGGGUGUUUAUAAUGAAUGCCAUACUAUUUUGUUUUCACAAUCUACUAUAGCGUUACCGGAUACUAAUCCAGAGCCAAAAGUCGGAUAACCCAACGUAGGUAUUUAUAGUCUUCUAUUUACUUAUAGAACAAAACUAGGUUAUCUCCUAGGGUGAACUUUCAAAAUUCACCAUCAACUCUAGUAACCAAUCAUAAUGCCAUGUAAAUUAAUGAAUAAGAAAUAUUCAAUAUCUUUUAAAAAAUAAAAAUAACGUCAAUUUUAACGAUGCUAACGCCGACGGCUAAACCCUAAAUCCAAACCGUAACUCUAAACCAAACCUUAUACCCUAAACUCAAACCCUAAAAUCCAAACCUAGACCCUAAACCUGAAUCUCAUACCCUAAAUUUAAACCAUAUACCCUAAAACCUAAACCGUAGACCCUAAACCCAAACUCUAUACCCUAAACCAAAACUCUAGACUCUAAACCCUAAAUCCUAAACCCAAACCUUAGACUUUGAAUUCAAACCCUAAACUCUAAACCCAAACUCUAAACCCU